UACGUAGGGUGCGAGCGUUAUUCGGAAUGACUGGGCGUAAAGCGUGUGCAGGCGGUCUGUUAAGACCGAUGUGAAAUCCCCGGGCUUAACCUGGGAACUGCAUUGGUGACUGGCAGGCUUUGAGUGUGGCAGAGGGAGGUAGAAUUCCACGUGUAGCAGUGAAAUGCGUAGAGAUGUGGAGGAAUACCGAUGGCGAAGGCAGCCUCCUGGGCCAACACUGACGCUCAUGCACGAAAGCGUGGGGAGCAAACAGG
rnacentral:rRNA from 1 species